rnacentral:lncRNA from 1 species
CCGGUUUCGCGCACUGCGCGGCUAGGGGAGCGCCCCGCCCCGGCCCGGAAACCGCCGGGAAGGGGACCCCGGAGCCCACCGCUCUGGGUUCCCCGUUCGUGCAGCAGUGGCCACGUACCUCGUCCCUUCCGCACCCCUGCUGGAUCUGGAAGGAAGCAGGAUAAGUUAAUGAGAUGUCCACCAGAGGGCCUGGCGUGGACACAGCACAUGGCCACAGAGGCUGGUGGGUGCUAUGGAAUCUUGUCCCCUGGAGAGGCACACAGCCAGGGCAGAACAUCAAGGUCAAGGCUCUCCUGAAGGCUCUGCAGUGCUUAGUGACACCACCAUCAAUGACCGUCAGGUAUCAGGAAACCAUUUGGCACCUCCUCUGGAAUGAAGGCGUGGCCGGGCACUUGAGAUCUGGCUGUUGAGGCAGAGGUAGUGCACGUGACCCACGCGGUGAGGUCUGCUCCCCGCUGCUGCAGCCAUCUGCGGUGGAGACCGUGAGUGUACACAGACAGUGCCAUCUGAAGGGAACUCCACUGCCUCUAUGUGCUACUUAAGCAGGGGCGACUGAGCCGGAGACUGCAGAAAUGUGUCCGUCCCCACGGACAGCCUGGCUUAGCUGUCCGUGGCUGUCUCCUGCCGUGGAGGAGCACACUGGAGUGGCCCGUGCAGUGGACCAGAGCUUCCACCCACACUGUGUUCUGUCUCCUUUCCUAGAACACAACUGGACGUUUCCCACCUCCGUGCAAAAUGAGUGGACAUAAGGGGUGCCACUUCCACACCUGGCUCAUGGAAGCUCCCAGAUGGUCUCAGCCCUCCAUGCUCCCCGCUACUUCAGGCUGGAUGGAGACGGACGGCUCAGGUUGCUCUCUCUGAUGCCUGCAUAAGGGCUGCCCUGCCAGCCCAUUCCCCUGCCCAAUAUUAUGGAAGCAAAAACGUUCUAUGGUGUUUGAGCCAUUGUUGUUUUUCGGGUAUAUUUAUUACAGAACUAGCGUAGCCCUAAUACAGUCAUUGCUACGUGGCCAUAAUACAUGUAUUCUAUAAUUGCGCCUAAUUUUAUU